AUUGAACGCUGGCGGCAGGCUUAACACAUGCAAGUCGACCGGAGAGGCGGCCGGGUGGGUCAUGCCUCGGAAUCUGCCUGGUCGUUGGGGAUCACGUCCGGAAACGGGCGCUAAUACCGCAUACUAUCAGCUGAGCCUUGGUCGGAUUGGCGAGUUGGUGGGGUAAAGGCCUACCAGGGCGACGAUCCGUAACUGGUCUGAGAGGAUGAGCAGCCACACUGGAACGGCGACACGGGCCAGACUCCUACGGGAGGCAGCAGUGGGGAAUAUUGGACAAGGGGCGAAAGCCUGAGGCAGCCAUGCCGCGUGUGUGAAGAAGGUCUUCGGAGUGUAAAGCACUUUAAGUUGGGAGGCGGUACCAACAGAAUAAGCACCGGCUAACUUCGUGCCAGCAGCCGCGGUAAUAC
rnacentral:rRNA from 1 species